rnacentral:rRNA from 1 species
AUGAGUCGACCUGAUGGGAUCAACAUCCCCGAUGGCAAGUUCUACCUUGGAGAUGCUGGAUAUGCAUGUCGGCCGGGUAUUCUUCCACCCUUCAGGAAAACAAGGUACCAUCUCAACGAGUUCUCUGGUAGGAACUAUCCUAGGACUGCACAAGAGCUGUUUAAUCUCAGACACUCCAGCCUUAGAGUAACUGUUGAGAGGGCAUUUGGAGCUCUGUAG